AAGAAAUGGACAAACAGACUCCGUCGUUCUCAAUGAGAGGGGGCUGAAACAAAAAAUCGUUUCCUGUUCAUCGUACUGCGCAGACUCAAACUCAUUUUGUGACGUUGGCCGCCCUGAACAUUGCUGUAACUCGUCUGAUAGAUGUUCAUACAGAUAUUUUGCCAUUCGACCUCGACUGACUGCGAUUUCUUGGAUCUUAGUUUACCAGUCAGACCACUACACCUUUGCCAGCACCACCACCCAGCAAGCUUCAUCAACUCCAGCCAUGCCGAGUUUACCAGUCAGACCUACACCUCCGUCAAAUUCGCUCACAACGCUGCCAAUAACACCCCAGCAAGAUUUUUACAGACUUGUUCUGCAGCACUUCCGAACAAUUGAGGAGGAGCUGGGGUAAAGCAGCAGGUGGCUGUGAACACAUCUAUGCUGCAGAAGCUAGGUGGUGGUGGUGUGGCGGAUCUUGGCCUCGUGGAGGACAACAACAGGCCAUUGAGUAAUGUUGAGGACCUGGACGAGUUGGAGAGGCGGCUUGCAUCCGAUGUGGACCUGAAAAAUCAACUGGUGAACAUACUUGGGAGGGAAAACCACCGAGAUGCUGUUAAGAGGAUGCUGAGCCGGGCUUUGAGGAGGUCCCUGGCGCUCCAAAUUAAUUAGACUGGUGCAGCAGGAAAGGUGGCUUUUAAGUCCUUACACCUGAAGAGUGUGUUGCAUAUUAAUAUCAUUAUUAAAAAUAAUUUUAAUAAAUUGUUUAAGCAUGUAGAAGAAAUAAAGCAUGUAAAUGAGCAUGUAAAAGAAAUAAAUAAACAAAAUGUAUUGAACCUAAUACUAUGUGUGGUGAGUCUGUGUGAUAGUUGCUGAGGAUAAAUGUUUUUAUAUUGGAUUAUUAAAUUACAGAAUACAUUUAUAGGUUUCUCAUCAGCAGGCACUGUCUUCACCUUAGUAAAUUUGGUAACUUUGGUAAGCCCUGUAAAUAAUUGUAAAUUGUUCUGAUUGAGGGCAAAUGGAAAGUGUUAUAAUGUAUUAUUGCUAUAUUUUAGUACAUCAUUUUAAUUAUUAAGGCCAUAAAUAAGGCCAAUUAGAAGCUGGUGGGUAGUAAGCGGCAAAAGGGUGGCCCUUUAUCUGGAGCCGCUUCUGAGCCGCCGGUGGACCGCUAGAGAACCGAUGAGCAAAACUCCAGCGGGCCACUGGUGGGUACCGCCGUUGGACCGCCAACU